ACUCCUACGGGAGGCAGCAGUAGGGAAUCUUCGGCAAUGGGGCAAGCCCUCGACGAGCAACGACCGCGUGAGUGAAGAAGGUUUUCGGAUCGUAAAACUCUGUUGUUAGAGAAGAACGUUAAGUAGAGUGGAAAAUUACUUAAGUGACGGUAUCUAACCAGAAAGGGACGGCUAACUACGUGCCAGCAGCCGCGGUAAUACGUAGGUCCCAAGCGUUGUCCGGAUUUAUUGGGCGUAAAGCGAGCGCAGGUGGUUUCUUAAGUCUGAUGUAAAAGGCAGUGGCUCAACCAUUGUGUGCAUUGGAAACUGGGAGACUUGAGUGCAGGAGAGGAGAGUGGAAUUCCAUGUGUAGCGGUGAAAUGCGUAGAUAUAUGGAGGAACACCGGAGGCGAAAGCGGCUCUCUGGCCUGUAACUGACACUGAGGCUCGAAAGCGUGGGGAGCAAACAGGAUUAGAUACCCUGGUAGCUA
rnacentral:rRNA from 1 species